GUUGGGAGUGGUGGCGCAUGCCUGUAAUCCCAGUGGCUCAGGAGGCUGAGACAGGAGGACCACCAGUUCAAAGCCAGCCUCAGCAAAAGCGAGGCACUAAGCAACUCAGUGAGACCCUGUCUCUA
rnacentral:sRNA from 1 species